rnacentral:rRNA from 1 species
UAUUAUUUUGGAUUUAAAAUUUAUUAACUUGAGUAGUAUUAGUUAUGGUCUUGAAACUUAAAGAAUUUGGCGGUACUAUAGUCUGGUUAGAGGAAUCUGUCCCGUUAUCGAUAAUCCGCGUUGUACCUUACCUAAUUUGAAUUAUAUGUAUACCGCCGUUUAAUGAAAAUCUUUAUAGGGAAUUUUCUUUAUAUUCUAUUUAGUUAUAUUUCAGGUCAAGGUGCAGUAUAUAAUUAGGUGGUGAUGGAUUACAAUAUUUAUAAAGUAUAAUGGAUUGAAUUAAGUGUAAUGUUUUUAUGAAGGAGGAUUUAAUAGUAAUUAUUAAUAAGAUAAAUUUUUUUGAUAUUAGCUCUAUAGUAUACACACAUCGCCCGUCACUCUCGUUAUAAGAUGAG